CUGGUGAGGGAGGAAGAGGAGGGAGAGUCAUGUGACCAGAGUGACGAAGAGGCCUUCAUCAGAGUACACCUGGACGUCACACAGUGUCUGGCUGGCAGGGGUUGGGGGGCGGGACAAAUUAGUCCUUCGUUCCGUAAAGAGACACAAAGGGUGUGCUUGAGUCAGCUCUACGUCUUCGUACAGAGGUUUACCAUUAUGGAGAGAAGGCGUAUGGCAGGUGGAGUAGAUGAAGAAAAGAUCCCUCACCUGUUCAGAACCAUCAACACCUGCACAGAGCUCAGGAAGUUUGCUGUGCGGUUAGCAUCUGAGGCCCAGACUGAUGCUGAUGAUACGACGGGAAUCUUAGACGAUCUGCUCACACACACCAAGGAUCAGCUGAUACACACAGCAGCACACAAC